GACGGAGGGUGCUAGCGUUGUUCGGAAUUACUGGGCGUAAAGGGCGCGUAGGCGGCUGCUCAAGUCGGGUGUGAAAGCCCGGGGCUCAACCCCGGAACGGCACCCGAGACUGGGCGGCUCGAGACCGGGAGAGGUGAGUGGAACUGCGAGUGUAGAGGUGAAAUUCGUAGAUAUUCGCAAGAACACCAGUGGCGAAGGCGGACUCACUGGCCCGAUACUGACGCUGAGGCACGAAAGCGUGGGGAGCAAACAGG
rnacentral:rRNA from 1 species